rnacentral:rRNA from 1 species
UACGUAGGGUGCGAGCGUUGUCCGGAAUUAUUGGGCGUAAAGGGCUCGUAGGCGGUUUGUCGCGUCGGGAGUGAAAACUCGGAGCUUAACUCCGAGCCUGCUUCCGAUACGGGCAGACUAGAGGUAUGCAGGGGAGAACGGAAUUCCUGGUGUAGCGGUGAAAUGCGCAGAUAUCAGGAGGAACACCGGUGGCGAAGGCGGUUCUCUGGGCAUUACCUGACGCUGAGGAGCGAAAGUGUGGGGAGCGAACAGGAUUAGAAACCCGAUAGUCC